rnacentral:rRNA from 1 species
GUUCGUAGGUGACUGCGGAAGGAUCAUUAAUGAAUUUGUCUUCGGACAUUCUCUCAUACACUUGUGAACUUACACUGUUGCUUGGUGGAGAUGCGGUCUAGAAAUGGAUGCGCGCCACCGAGAUUUUUUCACCCAUUUUUAUGUCUGAACAAAACAAAAAACAAAACAAAACUUUCAACAAUGGAUCUCUUGGCUCUGGCAUCGAUGAAGAACGCAGCGAAAUGCGAAAAGUAAUGUGAAUUGCAGAAUUCAGUGAAUCAUCGAAUCUUUGAACGCACAUUGCGCCCUCUGGUAUUCCGGAGGGCAUGCCUGUUUGAGUGUCAUUAACUUCUCCAUUUAUGGACGUUGAGGUCUGCAUUGCGAUGCUUCCUCGAAUUACAAGGGUGCAGCCUUUGGCUGUCGACAAUGUAUUAGGUUUCACCACUCGUUGUUUGACUGUCAUUUUGUGCGGCACCGAAAGCCGUCUUGCAUUUCAUGCUUGACAUUUUCAACUAUUGACCUCAGAUCAGGUAGGAAUACGCGCUGAACUUAAGCAUAUCAAUAAGCGCAGGAAAAGAAACUAACUAGGAUGCCUUCAGUAGCGGCGAGCGAAGCAGGCAUAGCUCAAAUUUGUAAUCUGGCUGUUUUACAGUCCGAGUUGUAAUUUCUAGAGGCGAGUUCGGUGGCAGCCCUGGUUCAAGUCCGCUGGAACGCGGCGUCAUGGAGGGUGAGAAUCCCGUGAAUGAUCAGGUGUCUGUUGCUAUGUGAACCGUUUUCGAAGAGUCGAGUUGUUUGGGAAUGCAGCUCUAAAUGGGAGGUAAAUUUCUUCUAAAGCUAAAUAUUGGCCAGAGACCGAUAGCGAACAAGUAGAGUGAUCGAAAGAUGAAAAGAACUUUGAAAAGAGAGUUAAACAGUACGUGAAAUUGUUGAAAGGGAAGCGCUUGAGAUCAGACUUCCUGCGCAGACUAUCCUUGCUUCUGCUUGGGUCAAUAGUCUGUGCGUGGAGGCCAGCAUCAGUUUUGACGGUCGGAUAAAGGUUUGGGGAAGGUGGCUCACCUCGGUGAGUGUUAUAGCCCCAGAUGCAAUACGGCCAGUUGGGACUGAGGACCGCGGCUUUGCCUAGGAUGCUGGCGUAAUGGUCUUAAGCGACCCGC